GUGAAAUCAUAGUUGUCCUAUGAUUACAGCUAUUGCUGUAGGACACAGAGUUGUUCUCGGUCAUGCUGGUCAUGUAAGGAAAUUCAAUAUCUUAAAGGAUUGAAAGAAUUUCAGCAGUGAGCUGUUCCAGAUUUGAGUUGAUCAGGGUUUAGCAGGGUGUAUCAUUGUUGUAGAUGUGAGGUUAGCUUGGGUUUAGCAGGGUGUACCAGUGUUCUAGUGAGGUUAGCUAGGGUUUAGCAGGGUGUAUCAGUGUUGUAGAUGUGAGGUUAGCUAGGGUUUAGCAGGGUAUAUCAGUGUUGUAGAUGUGAGGUUAGCUAGGGUUUAGCAGGGUGUAUCAGUGUUCUAGAUGUGAGGUUAGCUAGGGUUUAGCAGGGUGUAUCAGUGUUGUAGAUGUGAGGUUAGCUAGGGUUUAGCAGGGUAUAUCAGUGUUGUAGAUGUGAGGUUAGCUAGGGUUUAGCAGGGUGUAUCAGUGUUCUAGAUGUGAGGUUAUCUAGGGUUUAGCAGGGUGUAUCAGUGUUCUAGUGAGGUUAGCUAGGGUUUAGCAGGGUGUAUCAGUGUUCUAGUGAGGUUAGCUAGGGUUUAGCAGGGUGUAUCAGUGUUGUAGAUGUGAGGUUAGCUAGGUUUUAGCAGGGUGUAUCAGUGUUCUAG
ensembl:lncRNA